UACGAAGGGGGCUAGCGUUGCUCGGAAUUACUGGGCGUAAAGCGCACGUAGGCGGCUUUCUAAGUCGGGGGUGAAAUCCUGGAGCUCAACUCCAGAACUGCCUUCGAUACUGGAGAGCUUGAGUCCGGGAGAGGUGAGUGGAACUGCGAGUGUAGAGGUGAAAUUCGUAGAUAUUCGCAAGAACACCAGUGGCGAAGGCGGCUUUCUGGGCCUUACCUGACGCUGAGACGCGAAAGCGUGGGGAGCGAACCGG
rnacentral:rRNA from 1 species